GAGCAGACAGACAGAUUUACACUAAUGGUUCAUUUUGUCAAUUGCAGAAAUGUCAGUUAAAGAGCAAGGUCUACCGUUAUUUUACAUAUUGAUCUUUGCUGCCACUGCUGGAUCUCUGUUGAUUGUAGCUGCAGUUGUGAUGUGCUGCAUCUGCAAGAAACGUAGAAAAACAGUCCAAAACCACGAAGAAGACUCUGAUUCAGCAUUGUGUAAACCCAAAACACACAAAAAGAAAUCAAAGUCGGAGGCUGUGUAUGAAAAUGUCCCCAAAAAACGAUAAUCAAAUACCGUGUCUACUGGAACUGAUGAUAGAGCUCAUACAGGAUGCUGUCUAAUACUGUUUUGGUUUUGUUCACAUUUAUUCUCUGCCUAUACAGCUCAGUUUAAUUUUGCCUAUUUGUAUUACAUCUUUUGAUUUCAUCUAAUGAAUAUUUUUAUUUUUUUAUUUUUAUUUUUUUUGCCAUGUGUGCUCUCAUAAGUUGUUAUUGUGAUGUCCAAAAUAUUGUUGCUUUAAUUUGAUGCCUCACAAAUAGCACAGUAUUCAGAAACUCUACUAAAUGUUUUAUCGUAUGGAAAUGUAGUUUCUUUAUUAAAAAAAAUCACCCUUCAGUGUGCCGUUUUGUCUGUCAUUUAUGGCUCUUGAUUUAUACUUUUUAGACAGUUUCAUUGAACAUUAAGUGCAUUAGUGGUUUACAGUAUCAUCACACACAACAUGCUCAGCUGGACAUUUUAGCAAAUGUAGUACAAGC
rnacentral:lncRNA from 1 species